GACGUAGGGCGCGAGCGUUGUCCGGAUUUAUUGGGCGUAAAGAGCUCGUAGGCGGCUUGUCGCGUCGACUGUGAAAACUCGGGGCUCAACUCCGAGCUUGCAGUCGAUACGGGCAGACUAGAGUUCGGUAGGGGAGUCUGGAAUUCCUGGUGUAGCGGUGAAAUGCGCAGAUAUCGUAAGGAAGACCAGUGGCGAAGGCGGGUCUCUGGACAGUUCCUGACGCUGAGGCACGAAGGUCAGGGGAGCAAACGGG
rnacentral:rRNA from 1 species